GAAAGAUAAAGACAUAUUUCAGUCAAGAGUCAAGAGAACGAUUGUUGAUGAAGAGAAAAGAGCACAUUUGUGUGCAUUUGUGACCACAAACAUCACUACAGGAGAAGAAAUGAUGUUGGACUGCGGAGAUCCUGACUGCCCAUGGAGACAGGUAGCAGGAUGCUUGGUCCAUUACAUCCUGACGGAUGGACAACACCCUCAUCAGACAACUACACCCUCCACCCAGGAUCCACUUGGUCUGUCUCUACAUGUCAGAACGAGUAACUUCAGUCUUCAAUGGGAUGAAAGACAAAAAAUAUCUUAAGCAGAGUGAUGAGCAAAUCAGUGGAAGAGCAUCCUACUAUUGAGGAAUGCCUUCAGGAAGUCAAAACUAUGUGCAAAGACUUAUUGUAGAGUUUACAAUAAGCAUUCAAAUGAUUAGAUAUAAAUACUGGUGUGAAUUUGAUCACUGGUCUUAUCAAAUAUGAACCAAAAACAGCUACAGCAAUGUCCAUGUGGUUUCAGGAAAUAGUGACACAAAUGAUGAUCUUUCUGAAAUAAGGGCAGCCAGCUCAGAAAAGACUUCAGUCUUCAGUCUCGGAUACAUCAGUAAAUCACUAGUGCCAUUAAAUCAAAACGCAAGAGCCAGAAAGCCCUGGUCAGAAACAGAGAGGAAAGUCAUAGAACACUGUUUCAAGAUCUACUUUGAGGAAAUGAAGGCUCCUGGAAAAGUGGACUGUGAAAGAUGCAUAAAUGCAAACAGGAUUCUAAAGGGUAAUGGAAGAGACUGGAAAACAGUUAAAUACUUUGUGCUCAACAGAAUAAUUUCAGUUAAGAGAAGUUUGGGUCAACAGUACUGAGCCCAUAAACCCUGAGAGCUAUUUUUAGAGAGAUUAUGAGAAUAAAGUUUGACUUGAUUUCAUUCAAAAUGCUGUUUUGUUUUUUCACAAUAUCCUUUUCAGUGCAGGAAG